rnacentral:rRNA from 1 species
UGGGGAAUUUUGGACAAUGGGCGCAAGCCUGAUCCAGCAAUGCCGCGUGCAGGAUGAAGGCCUUCGGGUUGUAAACUGCUUUUGUACGGUGCGAAAAGGUCUGCCCUAAUACGGUGGGCUCAUGACGGUACCGUAGGAAUAAGCACCGGCUAACUACGUGCCAGCAGCCGCGGUAAUACGUAGGGUGCGAGCGUUAAUCGGAAUUACUGGGCGUAAAGCGUGCGCAGGCGGUUAUAUAAGACAGAUGUGAAAUCCCCGGGCUCAACCUGUGAACUGCAUUUGUGACUGUAUAGCUAGAGUACGGCAGAGAGAGAUGAAAUUCCGCGUGUAGCAGUGAAAUGCGUAGAUAUGCGAGAGAACACCGAUGGCGAAGGCAGCCGCCUGGGCCAGUACUGACGCUCAUGCACGUAAGCGUGAGGAGCAAACA